rfam:Hordeum vulgare subsp. vulgare, WGS project CAJW01000000 data, contig: morex_contig_197904
UAGGCACUCCCUCCGUUCUAAAAUUCUUGUCUUAGAUUUAUGUAGAUAUGAAUGUAUUUAGUUAUAUUCAAGUAUUUAGACACAUCUAUUUCUAGAUAAAUCUAUGACAAGAAUUUUAAGACGGAGGGAGUAUAUC